GAUGAACGCUGGCGGCGUGCCUAAUACAUGCAAGUCGAGCGAACAGACGAGGAGCUUGCUCCUCUGACGUCAGCGGCGGACGGGUGAGUAACACGUGGAUAACCUACCUAUAAGACUGGGAUAACUUCGGGAAACCGGAGCUAAUACCGGAUAAUAUAUUGAACCGCAUGGUUCAAUAGUGAAAGACGGUUUUGCUGUCACUUAUAGAUGGAUCCGCGCCGCAUUAGCUAGUUGGUAAGGUAACGGCUUAACAAGGCAACGAUGCGUAGCCGACCUGAGAGGGUGAUCGCCCACCCUGGAACUGAGACACGGUCCAGACUCCUACAGGAGGCAGCAGCAGGGAAUCUUCCGCAAUGGGCGAAAGCCUGACGGAGCAACGCCGCGUGAGUGAUGAAGGUCUUCGGAUCGUAAAACUCUGUUAUUAGGGAAGAACAAAUGUGUAAGUAACUAUGCACGUCUUGACGGUACCUAAUCAGAAAGCCACGGCUAACUACGUG
rnacentral:rRNA from 1 species